rnacentral:rRNA from 1 species
AUUGAACGCUGGCGGCAGGCCUAACACAUGCAAGUCGAACGAGUGGCGGACGGGUGAGUAAUGUCUGGGAAACUGCCUGAUGGAGGGGGCAAACUACUGGAAACGGUAGCUAAUACCGCAUACCAUCAGAUGGGCCCAGAUGGGAUUAGCUUGUUGGUGGGGUAAGGGCUCACCAAGGCGAAGAUCCAUAGCUGGUCUGAGAGGAUGACCAGCCACACGGGAACUGAGACACGGGCCAGACUCCUACGGGAGGCAGCAGUGGGGAAGAUUGGACAAUGGGCGAAAGCCUGAUGCAGCAAUGCCGCGUGAAUGAAGAAGGCCUUCGGGUUGUAAAGUACUUUCAGCGGGGAGGCGUUACCCGCAGAAGAAGCACCGGCUAACUCCGUGCCAGCAGCCGCGGUAAUAC